CUGCUUGGCAAGCACCUACACUAAAAUUGGAUUGAUACAGAGAAGGUUAACGUGGCCUUUAUGACAGGAUGACAAGCAAGCACAGAAAAAUAAACUGGUUCUU
ensembl:snRNA U6 U6 spliceosomal RNA